AUGGGCUCUUUCCCUGAUUGUUCUGGGCUGUAUCUUUGUAGGUGUCUUGAUAAGUGGAGCACUUUCUACAGUCUGCUACUAUAUGAAGCAAAUAAGAGCAUCACAACAGAAUACAUGUGUUGGAACAGGAAGUUAUACUACACAUGCAAUGCAAUGCGGGAGAUGCUGAGACAGUGGACAAUGGAAAUGAUGCAACGAGGGACAGACCAUGGUUUUAAGAAAGCUCUAAGUUGUGGCUGCUCUCCAGCUACAACAUCCUUGCUGCAUAAACAAAUAUAUACUCAGGACAUUCCAUUUCUUAUAUUUACAUGGGCUCAGGUGUUAUGUACUUUAGAAUACAGAUUGUGUGUUUUCUAUUGUGAGCCAAGCUUUAUGAUCCUUGGUGGACAUUUGCUAAGAUCUCCACUUGCCUCCCUCGCAUUCGGCACUUAAGAGGUGCAGUGCUUUGAAACUGGAAGCUUAUAGGUUUCAUAGCUUAUUAUCAAUUGACAGAAUAUCUUCUAUGAGAUGUCUUACUACUGUUUCAUGACUAUAUACUGUGCCUCUUUGAAAGAUAGGAAGAACGCUCUUGAGAUCUGAUUUAGAGAAACUGAAAACUAAGAGUAGAAAACAAAUUUAUUUUCUGACUUUUAUACUAAGCAUAAAAUGACUUCAAAUUAGUCUGUUUAAAUAAAUCCAAGACACGUGAAAGAACUUCAACAUGCUCGGUGAACUUAUGAAGAUGAUAAAUCAUAAAGUAGUCUCUCAAUGGAAAAUGCAGGCAAAUAUAGGUGGUAUGAUAAUGCAAGGUAUGUUUCUUUGGGAUUGUAUUAAAUACUAUUGAAAAAAUCAUUAAAAAUAAAAACUGAAUAAAAUUAAAGGAGCAGUUAAGUGAGUUUAUGAAAUGAAGAAGAAUCACACAAAACAUGCUUGUGAUCUAAAAGCAGAAGGAGGGGAAGCUGGAAAAUACCUUUAUAUAGCAGAUGUUGACCUCAGGGCAAAAAAAAAAAAGCUUGAUACAGCUUGGCUGGAAUACAAUAGCCAUUAUGUUGCAGAAGACAAAAGUGGACUAUGGAAACAUACACACAAUGUUUCUGUGAUCUAUCCAAUAUUAGUACAAGUAAACUGACAGAAGGGUUUAUACUCACUUGUACUAUUUAACAUGUGUAUAAAGAGAGUAACCAGUAACAUAAAGGCAGAGAGUAAAUGAAAGUAAAUAGGAAGGAAACCAGUGGUUUGCUAAGAAUAUAUGGGAGAUAGUAGAGCUGCAAAAUAUGGGGUUUAGGAUCCUGGGAAAUCACAUUGUGUCCAGGUGAUGGUUUGUUAAUGAGGGUAACUGGUGUAUUUAAUCAAUAGGAACUCAAUGGCAAAUGAUCUUAUUCUGAUAGCUUUCCAGUUAGCAAAAGAUAAUCUUCUUUACACUUUGUGAUAGUCAUAGCUUCCAAGUUAGUGGGAAGAGGCAAAACAACAGUCUGAAGAUAAAAUACAGCUCACUGACAGAAAAUUGGAUAGAGAAAGAGAAUUUUGGAGCUGUAAGUUCAUGGAAGGUGAAUGCUUUUGGGGAUACAUGAAUUCUCUCUAGGAAGCUGGUGCCAGUUAUGGCUUUGCUGCACACUAUAGAAGUAUAUGCAUUUUCUUCUGCAAUGCUCUCUUGUAUAUUUGUAAAUAAAAAGGUAUUAUAAAGACAUUGU
rnacentral:lncRNA from 11 species